GACGGAGGGUGCUAGCGUUGUUCGGAAUCACUGGGCGUAAAGGGCGCGUAGGCGGCCUCAGGUGUCGGAUGUGAAAGCCCGGGGCUCAACCCCGGAGGUGCAUCCGAAACUCUGGGGCUGGAGGUCGGAAGAGGAGGGUGGAAUACCCAGUGUAGAGGUGAAAUUCGUAGAUAUUGGGUGGAACACCGGUGGCGAAAGCGGCUCUCUGGUCCGGUACUGACGCUGAGGUGCGAAAGCGUGGGGAGCAAACAGG
rnacentral:rRNA from 1 species